CAAAAAUAUAGUUCCUCAAAAUAUGUUUAGACUUAAGAAUAAGACCCGUUUAACAAACGAAUCAAACUUCAGGCAAAGUUUUUCAAUCCGGACCCAACUUUAUUUUAUUACUUACAUUUUUCUACCCUAUUCCCUCCCAGACCCAAUCUCUUAUUCGAUCAGUCCCCUUCCCCUUCCCAAUCCCUAAUUCCCUUCCCUAUCAGUUCUUUUUUCUUAAAAAAGAAAACCCUAGCAUUAAGUGUCGCUCACCACCUACACAGCUACACCAGUGACCUCUAGCACCACUACCUGCUGCACCAGCAAGCUCCUCUAGGCUGGCCCUUGAAACAUCAGCAACAACACCAUCCAAGGCUGUUGAAUGAUGACCAGGCUGCUUCUGAUAACUUGGCAUUCGUUACAUAAAUAUAUUAGAACUGUGCGGACGUGGCUGGGAUAUUUGCAUUGUCCAUCUCCCUUGGAGUGCGAAUCAAGUGGCUGGCAAAACAGGGGUUUAACAUGGGUUUCGAGCUGCAAAUUUUUGUUUCCCCUCCUGCUGGUGCUUGGAAUAUGCUUUGUCAGGAUGUUUUGAGAUCUUGUUCUCUAUAAUUUUUUUGAUAUCCUUCUUUAUUCAAAUAAAAUUGUGAUCAUGCUUUUUAGUUUGGUCAAAGGAUGUAGGAGUAGUUCGACCAGUUUUAUCCCUUCAACCCAAUUUGGUUUUAUGCUUGUAUACUUGUGGCUUGAAAAUCUCUGUUUUGCCCAUGUGCAUGUGCAUGAACAAUUAAAUCUUAGUUAUUACAGAUGGAGAGUUCGAUGUGAUUCAAACUAAUUUUACCCAUAAGUAGAUAACAACUAAUUCAGGGGAAACAUUCAUUUAGUUUGGCAUAUGCUUUGUUUGGCUUGUUUAGGUACCUUAUAGACUGUUUAGGUGUACAAUUAAUAAAUGAUAAAUGAUCUCAAUGUUUUGUACAUCUCUCUUACUCUGUAUUUCUUUACAUAUCUUUGUAACAUCAGAUAGACUAUGCAUGUACACCUGAGGAAGUUCACCAGCAAUUCAAAUCUUGUGAUCAGAGUAACAAUUUUGACAGACAAGUUGAAUUUGUUUAAGUUGUUGAAGUUGAUGCUGCUCAAAGUGCUCUACUGUUAAAUGAAUCAGAAUUGCAUGGUCAUCGGUUGAAGUUUUGGAGGUCGGGUUCCUUCUCUGUUUACUUUGCAUUUGUACAAUUAGCUUCAUGGAUUAUGCUCACUUAAUAUUGCACCUUAGUGGUUUUAUGGGUUCAGUCUGUUUUACUCUGUUGAGUAUGCAUCGGACAUGGGUGUCCCACAUGCUUAAUAAAAAGAUGGACUUCUGCAGCCAAUAAAUUGGAGCAAGCUGGUUUUCAGAAUAUAGCAUGUAUAACAUCAGGGCUUCAAACUGUAAAACCAGGUACAUUUGAUUCUGUAGGUACAACUAAGUUGCAAGAUGCUGGCAAAGCUGGUUUGGUCACAAUUCAAGGCAAGAAUUCAGCCGUGCUUGGAACUGCAUACAUUUGCAAGUGAUUCAAUAGCCAUAAAAAACUUCCGUUGAAGUCCUUUUUCUCUUUUAAUCUAACCUCAUGAAAUGGCGCAGGCGCAUAUCUGUUUAUAACUUUGUUCCCAGAUCAAGCGGAGAAGAUGCUUCAGAUGAGUCUUGCAAGGUAGCCAUUGCAAAAUGAGUCCGGGUUAUAUUUUACCCAACUAACAUCCGAGGCAGUCCAAAAUUAGUCCUUAUCCCUGCUGCAAUAGUAAGAAAUGUCUAUGCAACGACUUAGAUUUGACUACCAAGAUGAUUCCUUACAAAAUUGCUUCCGUCAUCAAAUUUCGUAGAAGAAACCACUACAAUAUCGACGGCAAAAGUUACACCAUCUGAAGCUAUCGAAAUUAAGGGUGGCAUUGCCUUGAAAAAACCAAUGUUGCUUGAUUCUUGGCAAUUCAACACAGGUUUUAUGAAGAAAAAAGGGGCAUUCUGAACAAUAAUAGAAAAUAUUUGAGAUGGGUAGCAUGCACCCAUCACAUUUUCUAUCAAUUUCCUCCUCCAUCUCGUCUGCUAACACCAAGCAAUGUUGAUGACUCAAAUGUUCAAUCUUUGUAGCUUCCCCAGCUUCAUUCACCUCAAUAACACCAAUGAUGGAAGACUGCAUAGAUUUUUCUUCAAGCUCCUCACACUGCUUUUCUUCCUCAAUUACCUUGAACAACUUUUUAUCCUCUAAGACACAAUUCACAUGGACAACGUAUUUGCAACCUGGCUUCCUACAAGAGUAACUCCCACGCUCUAGUCUUACUUCAUUGAAACAAAUCUUGCAAUCUUGCUUUGUAAGCUCUUGUGUUUGAAGAAAAUAUUUGUGAAAAAUGCAGUGAUCAUGUCGAGAAAUUUUGAUUAUUAAA